GGUUAAGCGACUAAGCGUACACGGUGGAUGCCCUGGCAGUCAGAGGCGAUGAAGGACGUGCUAAUCUGCGAAAAGCGUCGGUAAGGUGAUAUGAACCGUUAUAACCGGCGAUGUCCGAAUGGGGAAACCCAGUGCAAUUCGUUGCACUAUCGUUAACUGAAUACAUAGGUUAACGAGGCGAACCGGGGGAACUGAAACAUCUAAGUACCCCGAGGAAAAGAAAUCAACCGAGAUUCCCCCAGUAGCGGCGAGCGAACGGGGAGCAGCCCAGAGUCUGAAUCAGCUUGUGUGUUAGUGGAACGGUCUGGAAAGUCCGACGGUACAGGGUGAUAGUCCCGUACACCAAAAUGCACAGGCUGUGAACUCGAAGAGUAGGGCGGGACACGUGGUAUCCUGUCUGAAUAUGGGGGGACCAUCCUCCAAGGCUAAAUACUCCUGACUGACCGAUAGUGAACCAGUACCGUGAGGGAAAGGCGAAAAGAACCCCGGCGAGGGGAGUGAAAAAGAACCUGAAACCGUGUACGUACAAGCAGUGGGAGCACCUUCGGGUGUGACUGCGUACCUUUUGUAUAAUGGGUCAGCGACUUAUAUUCUGUAGCAAGGUUAACCGUAUAGGGGAGCCGCAGGGAAACCGAGUCUUAACUGGGCGUUAAGUUGCAGGGUAUAGACCCGAAACCCGGUGAUCUAGCCAUGGGCAGGUUGAAGGUUGGGUAACACUAACUGGAGGACCGAACCGACUAAUGUUGAAAAAUUAGCGGAUGACUUGUGGCUGGGGGUGAAAGGCCAAUCAAACCGGGAGAUAGCUGGUUCUCCCCGAAAGCUAUUUAGGUAGCGCCUCGUGAAUUCAUCUUCGGGGGUAGAGCACUGUUUCGGCUAGGGGGUCAUCCCGACUUACCAACCCGAUGCAAACUACGAAUACCGAAGAAUGUUAUCACGGGAGACACACGGCGGGUGCUAACGUCCGUCGUGAAGAGGGAAACAACCCAGACCGCCAGCUAAGGUCCCAAAGUCAUGGUUAAGUGGGAAACGAUGUGGGAAGGCACAGACAGCCAGGAUGUUGGCUUAGAAGCAGCCAUCAUUUAAAGAAAGCGUAAUAGCUCACUGGUCGAGUCGGCCUGCGCGGAAGAUGUAACGGGGCUAAACCAUGCACCGAAGCUGCGGCAGCGACACUAUGUGUUGUUGGGUAGGGGAGCGUUCUGUAAGCCUGCGAAGGUGACCUGUGAGGGUUGCUGGAGGUAUCAGAAGUGCGAAUGCUGACAUAAGUAACGAUAAAGCGGGUGAAAAGCCCGCUCGCCGGAAGACCAAGGGUUCCUGUCCAACGUUAAUCGGGGCAGGGUGAGUCGACCCCUAAGGCGAGGCCGAAAGGCGUAGUCGAUGGGAAACAGGUUAAUAUUCCUGUACUUGGUGUUACUGCGAAGGGGGGACGGAGAAGGCUAUGUUAGCCGGGCGACGGUUGUCCCGGUUUAAGCAUGUAGGCUGGUUAUCCAGGCAAAUCCGGAUAAUCAAGGCUGAGGUGUGAUGACGAGGCACUACGGUGCUGAAGUAACAAAUGCCCUGCUUCCAGGAAAAGCCUCUAAGCAUCAGGUAACAUCAAAUCGUACCCCAAACCGACACAGGUGGUCAGGUAGAGAAUACCAAGGCGCUUGAGAGAACUCGGGUGAAGGAACUAGGCAAAAUGGUGCCGUAACUUCGGGAGAAGGCACGCUGGUGUGUAGGUGAAGUCCCUGCGGAUGGAGCUGAGACCAGUCGAAGAUACCAGCUGGCUGCAACUGUUUAUUAAAAACACAGCACUGUGCAAACACGAAAGUGGACGUAUACGGUGUGACGCCUGCCCGGUGCCGGAAGGUUAAUUGAUGGG
rnacentral:rRNA from 1 species